rnacentral:rRNA from 1 species
AUGAACGCUAGCUACAGGCUUAACACAUGCAAGUCGAGGGGAAACGACAUCGAAAGCUUGCUUUUGAUGGGCGUCGACCGGCGCACGGGUGAGUAACGCGUAUCCAACCUGCCCAUCACUUGGGAAUAACCUUGCGAAAGUAAGACUAAUACCCAAUGACAUCCCACGAAGACAUCUGAAUGGGAUUAAAGAUUUAUCGGGGAUGGAGGGGGAUGCGGCUGAUUAGCUUGUUGGCGGGGUAACGGCCCACCAAGGCAACGAACGGGAGGGGUUCUGAGAGGAAGGCCCCCCACAUUGGAACUGAGACCCGGUCCAAACUCCUACGGGAGGCAGGAGUGGGGAAUAUUGGUCAAGGGGGGGGGCCCUAAACCAGCAAAGGAGCGUGCAGGAUGACGGCCCUUUGGGUUUUAAACUGUUUUUAUAAGGGAAUAAAGUGGGUUUCGGGGAAUUUUUUGGAGGUACUUUUGAAAAAAGGACCGGCUAAUUCCGU